GCAUGCGCGGCCCUCGGCUCGGCCCGGGCGCACCUUUUCUCUCUCCUGCCACAAUGUGAGCGCUCAGCGGAGCAGAUAACCGCCGGCUGCCUGCUCCACCCCCGGCCCUCGCCCACUCCGCCCACUCCCGAGCGCCCAGACUGAGACAUGAUUCUGGAGAGAAGCUUCACUGCAAAGAGCCAUACCUGCCAUGUUCCUUGUAUUGUGAGCAUUUACACUGGUCUUUAGUCUCAGGUGAGUUCUUCCAUGUUGACAGGUGACAACCCUACAGAAAGCUUUCCGGCAUGCUUUAGAUUCCCAGUUUCUUCCUAAGGUGCACACUGCUGUUUGGAAUUCCCUGGACCGAAGGCUUCCCCACAGAGGAUGCUGACUGCAGGAAUGGAGGACCUUUUACCACUGCAGAAGAACAAUGUGGUGCCUACGGGGACAUGGCAUGUGAACAUUCUCCAUUCCUCCCAGCGAGGCACUCUGGACAAUGUGAAGAGCCCAGCAAGGGAAAGCUCGAGGAGAGCAAGGUGGGCAGCAGAGCAGGAUUUGGGGAAACUGUGAGCACUGCUCUGUCUGACCCUCAGUACAUCCGUCUCCAUCAGUAUCUACCCACCCUGCUCAAGCAUGCCCCUUACUCACUCCGUGGCAACUGGCCUAUCUUUCCCCCAACGUCAAAAGAGCUAAUUCAGCGACUGUCAUAGUACUUGGUCCAUAGCCUCUAUUCUAAAUAUGCCUGUCAAAUUAAUUGGCUAUAAACAUGGAAAGGUUUUUCUUGAAAAGG